CUUCACUAACGGUGCUGCUCAUACUCCAGGACUGGAAAACAAGCAUACAGAAGAAAAGUCAAAAGGAGGAUAACAGAAUAUUGGAAGAAAUGACACCCUGUCAACUGAAAGUUGAGAUCCAGUAUUCCAUUGUGAAUUGUGCAUCAUCAAUGGAACUCAUAUAGCCUUCAAGGUAUGACAGCAACUAAUCUAUGAAAAUCAUCAACAGGAAGGACUUCCCUUCUCACUGCAUCUAACUCAAAUAGAGGAAGAGAUUCCUUCACGUGUGCACUCACUUCCUUGGUAUCUGCCACGUUCUCUUCAGCAUUUGUCCUUCGAGGCUGCCUCAGGUCUUCACUCCAAUCCCCAAUGUGCAUGGAGAGAUCUUAUGGGGAAAGGAAUAUCCCCUUAAGUGAUUUCUACUGAUCUCUCUGCAGGGUACCCAGGCUCAGAAAUGACCAGUGGCACUUUCUUCCCAAGAGAACGACUGAGCAGAUUAUCAAGCUUUGGAAGAAACGGCUGUGGGGGCUGGAAUGGUUGAGUGGUGCCUUCCAAUUUUCUCUUGGAUUACUUCAGUUUUGACACGGUGCACUGCUGUAUUUAUGAGGACAUUGAGGUCCUGGAAGGAAACCAUUCAUCAGGAAAGGAGCAAGAGGUGAAAGAGAAGGAAGUUUUGAAUAUAAAGGGAAAUGCAAAAAAAGAUUGCCACCUCUGAAGCAAAACAAGCUGGUUUAGCCACAGCAUGGAUUAUAAAAAGCUUGUGAUGUUGUCACGACAUGUGUGGCCUCCUGAUUCAGGAACAAUUCGAGUGGGUCGCUCUGACCCAGGUUGUGGGGCAUGGCAUUGGAGGAAAUCUGAGAUAACUGUGCUGGCACCUGCUAUGGAC